CAGAGGUAUUAGCUGCCAGCCAGACUUCAGACCCUGCUUGUCAGAGCCAAGUGGCACCAUUUCUUUAGCCUGCAAAUGGAGCGUGAGAUGAUGAGGGCACUGAACUUGUGUCCCAACCGUGGCUCUGGAUCUUGGAUGUUAAGUCUGGCUCCUGCCUCCACUUGAGGUUAAAACAGCUCAAAGUGCGUUCUUAGAAGAAUGUAAAGAUCUGUUUGUUCUUUCACAUCCAUGCCUGAUGUCAAUGUGAGAACAAAGAAGACAAUGUUCUCUGUCCUGAAAGCCGACUGGAAGGAUAACAGGCCUACCCUGGAGCACCUGGCUGCCUGGGUUUAGACAAGAUGAUGUCUGCAGAGGCCGGAGCCGUGUGGGGCAGUCACUGGUAAAGACUUCUAGAGCAGGGGGCUUGCUGGUGGGUGAGAGGCCUUUGUUUCAAUGGUAACUUGCAUUG